rnacentral:tRNA from 1 species
UCCCAGGUGGCUCAGUGGAAAAGAAUCUGCCUGCCAAUGCAGGAGACCUGGGUUCGAUCCCUGGGCUGGGAA